CUGAAAAUUUCACAGAGAAUUUUAUCACCUAUGUAGAGCACACAGCUGCCUCAGAAACCUUCAGUACGCUUUCUCCUCUUAACACAAUAGUAGGCCAUUUUUAGCAAAAAAUUAGGGAGAAGAUCAUCAUCUGAGAAUGCACUUAUUGCUUUAUAUCUCAGAGGUCUCUAAUCCAAGCGAUAUGCCAUCAAGUCCUACUUAAGUCAUGCUUCCUGAGGCCUUUGUCAUACAGUGAAUGGCAGCGCUACUUUAACCUAGCGCUGCCUCGGGAAAAGCCUAGCGUAACCGUGGGCUACUGUCUCCCAGUCUAAAUUGCAAUUAGCAGUUGACACAAACAGUAUUUAGUAGUUGGCUUUCUAAUACACAUCACUGAAUUUACUGAAUUUAAUUCAUUACUUUUUCACAGUCAAGCACACAGACCCAGCUUUAUCUUUCUUUGCUGCUGCGCAUAAUCGUAUCAGCCUGAGGCUGGAGCAGGAAGUUAAGUUUGAAAUAAAAGCACAGUGCCUUAUAGAUGGGAAGUGGAGACAGUUCAGUAUUGAUCAACUCACCCUGAAGUCUGGAGUCACACAAUCCUCUUGCAAAAGCCAGAAGGAAGCUGGUUUUCUGCAGAGGAAGAAGGAGCUGGAGCUGGAGCUGGAGCUGGAGCUGGAGCUGGAGCUGGAGCUGGAGCUGGAGCUGGAGCUGGAGCUGGAGCUGGAGCUGGAGCUGGAGCUGGAGCUGGAGCUGGAGCUGGAGCUGGAGCUGGAGCUGGAGCUGGAGCUGGAGCUGGAGCUGGAGCUGGAGCUGGAGCUGGAGCUGGAGCUGGAGCUGGAGCUGGAGCUGGAGCUGGGUGGGAAGCCUGGCCAUUGUAGUUUCUUUAUCACAUAAAGUGGGAGCCAUGGAGGUAAGAAGCUUGUCUGCAUCUCCCUCAAGGUGUUCGUAACACAUACGGUUUUGCUGUAAGGCAGUGAUUAUAGUAAAACCUCAUUCUUCAGAGCUUUAGCUGAUCGCCUGAAGGGAUCAAGAGGGAAUUUUUUCUACACUGCCCGUUAGCUAGUGAUAGACUUGGGGAUUAUUUUUCGUUAUCUUCUCAAGCUUCAGAAACUGUCCAUAGCUGGAGAUGAGUGACAGUGUAUGCUGAGGUGGAAAAGAAAAUCUUGUUUCUUAGAUAGUAUCUUGCUCACAUGUUUGAGGUCACAGCGAUUAACAAAUCUGAGAUACAAAGGGUGGUUUUUCCCAAGGUCAUUUUGACAGGAACUUUGGGGAACUUUUGUCUAUUUCUACAUAACGGAGAAUAAUUUAUUUGCUGUAAUAAUUAGAUAUUUAUUACUUAAUCAAUGCCAUACCACUGCAGAAGACUCAGACAUUGGUCCUUUAUGAUAAAACCUAAUGACUGAGAAGCUUUCCUUGCAUGCUGAUACUGAGGUGGUUAGGUGAAAGGUGAUAGGCUGUGACACACAGGAGGGCUCAGCAGAGUAACAACCUCAGCUGAUCAUAACCUCUAGGAAAAGUAGUCCCACUGAUUUCAAUAACACUGCUCUUAAAAUAGUGCACAGGAGGCCUACUGAAUGUGGAUGGAAUUUGCAAUAUUGAACCCAUAAAAAAAGAAUAUAGUGAGAGCAUUUUGCUGUAUACUUAGUAAUUCACUGGCCAGGCUUUUUCCUGUUUUCCACUGUAACAUAACUGUUAGUUUUAACAAAAACGUUUUGUCUAAGGCAGAAUAAUUCCUUCAUAGCAAUGAAGUGAGGUUUUGUUCAUAGUUCUUUAUUUCUGUGUAUGCAUAAAGUUGCUGAACUUCCGCUGCUGGAAAAAAUUUUCCAUCCUGAAAAUACAAUUAGAAAAGUUAAGAAUCAUGAUAUUUUGGCAUUGCUGAACGUUUCUGUUUCAUUGCCAGGAUAUGUGAUGCAUAUAUAUAUGUAAAAAAAAAAAUGUAUAUUUGUGUAUAUGUGUAAAUAUGUCGCUUCUUUUGGUAUUAAUAACUGUAUGUUCUACUAGAAGUUUUCAUACCUUCUGAAAUAAACACUUCACUAGUACAUUGCGUUACA
rnacentral:lncRNA from 1 species